rnacentral:tmRNA from 1 species
GGGGGCGUAAAGGUUUCGACGGGGAUCAAUAGCCAUGAUAAGCGAGUAGAGCGGGCGAAAGCUCUUUAAUUGUCGCAAUUUAAAUAUAAACGCUAACAAUAAUAAAUUAGCUUACGCUGCUUAAGUCAGCGUUCGAAGAGGGAAUGUUAAAAGAUAAGCUACACUCGUAGAAAGUUGUGGGGAAGGGUUUUCGGACAGGAGUUCGACUCUCCUCGCCUCCACCA